CUCGCUCCUCCGCGUGCGCUCUGCCGGACCCGAGUGAAUAGUCCUCGCGCGGUGGGGACACGGCGGUGAGUGCUUUCCCCUCGCCUCCAGCCUCCAGGAGGUUCCCGGCGCCUCAGGCAGCUGCAGCUUCGAAGCGGCUGCCACCGCACCUGGGCAGCCUGGACCCUCGUGCCCUGCUCCCGAGGCCUUGCGCGGUGGGCGCCCCGGGACACCCCUGCGGGCCGGGUGGAGGAGGAGAAAGUAGAAUAAGAGGAAGAUGUGGACCAGGAUCCCCAACCUCCCCACAACACCUGGCCUCUCCGCUUCCACUUCUUUCACACAAGGAGAGAGGAGCCAGCAAGAGCCAUGGGGGGCUGCGAAGUCCGAGAAUUUCUUUGGCAAUUUGGAUUCUUUUUGCCUCUGAGGACAGCUUGGCCGGGCUACUGUAGUCAGGUCUCCAACAACCAAGGGUCUCGCUGUGCAGUUCAGGCUGGCCUUGAGCUUACUUUGUAGCCUGGGCUGGUCUCCAACUCACAGCAAUCCUCCUGCCACAGCCUCCUGAGUGCUGGGAUUACAGGCGUGAGCUGCCAUGCCCGGGAUGAAGACAAUUAAUUACAUGGAUGUGCUUCCCCCAUCCCCAAGGUCCAUGGAGUCAAGGAAGCAGCUGAAUCCAGCACUUGUGAUUGGUUCCUGGGCUAGCGCUGGGGUUGGCAGUAAUGUUACUGCACAUUCAGUGAAAAAGGACUGUGUUAAAAAGUGGACUUACCUGCUGAAAGGAAGAUUCCCUGGGGAGACACAUCAUCAGUGACUAAAUUGACCUUCACAUGUAUGGACUGGUCUUCUCUAUGCCUGAUUAAUGGUUGUGUUGCUUGAUACAACUACUGUGCUGGAUGAACUAGGAUGGAAGACGUAUCCAUUAAAUGGGGUGAUGGAUGCGGACACACUGUACUAGGCCUUGAAAGUGGAACUCUUGCAUCUAUAAACUACCCUCAGACCUAUCCCAGCAGUACCGUUUGCAAAUGGGAGAUCCAUGUCAAGAUGGGAGAAUGAAUUCGGGUCAAAUUGGGUGAUGUUAACAUUGAAGAUUCUGAUUCUUGUCAUUUUAAUUACUUGAGAAUUUAUAAUGGAAUUGGACUUGGCAGAACAGAAAUAGGUAGGACAUUUUAUUAGAAGUGUAUUUGUAGUACAUUUUUGCUUUAAGUUUCAAAACUAAAGCAGUUUCAUAUUUAACAUUGAGUAACUGCUGCAUGAGGCAGUAUGUGAGAAAUUAUUGAAAGUGUAGAAAUCUCAAAUUUGAAUCUUUUGUAAAAGGAAGGUUAUCUAUUUACACUUCUAGUACAUUUGUGUUGGUACCUUUGCAUAAGAUGCUACUGUACUACAAAGAAGGAAGAAAUUAUCCUUUGUGUUUUCCAUUGAUCAUUUUGUUUACAGUAGAAAAUACAAGCAUGAUUCAUGCUUAGGAGACUGUGUAAUAAGAAGAUGGGUUUUGGAUCCAAACAGCCUGAGAUAAAGGCUUUACUCUGCCAUGAAUUGAUUGUAUGAUCUUGGGCAAUUCACUUUACUUUUCUAUUUUCUCAUUUAUGAAAUAGAGAAUGAAACUAAUUCAAAUAAAGUCCUAGCAGUUACACCAGACACAUAUAUUUAGUAAAUAGUAGUUAUCAUUGUACUCUUGUUUAAAAAGUCAUUCUCAAUUAUAGCUGCAUACUACAGGUCUUCUGAGACUUAAAAAAAAAAACAUUGUAUAUGUGGUUCCCAUCAUAGACCAGCUAAAUUAGAAUUGAUUGAGUGAAACCAAGAUCUCAGUUUGAUAAAAGUUUUUCAGGAAAAUUUACUUUGCAACCAAAGUUUGGAACCUUUGGUUUAGAGAUCAGUACCAUUCUUAAGGUACUUAAAAAGUAAAAUUUGAAAGAUUUACAAGACAGUUUUGGUGAAGUAAUGUUACAAAUUAAGAACUCUAGAAUUUUCUUUGUUUAGAAACAUUGAUUGGUGCUGGUGUAUAAAAUGUCUUUUAGAACUAUAAUAGGUAUGUAGGAUUCUGUUUUUAAUACACUGCAUUCAUUGUCAGUUCUCCCCAUGUCUAGCCAGAUCUUUGACUUCUCUUACACACCAGAGGAAGGAUUUCUGCUGUGUUUCUCUGGUUGAUGAGUGAUAACCAGUUGUCUCUCAUCAGUUCUUGAUUAACAUGUUAGCUUGAUCACAACCUACAUAGUUCCAUCAAUAUAAGGUAUCUGAUAACUUGUAGAAAUUCAGAUUACAGAGAAUGUAGAAACAAUUUUUACUCUUACUAGUAGAAGACCACUAAAUGUUAAAUGCCUGCUGACAGUGCAGUAGAGGGUGGGCACUAUCACCUGAACAUUCUUGAAACAACAUUGAGAAAAGGUGAGUCCCAGCCUAGUCAAGCCUAUAGUACUUUACAAGUUGUAAAGGAGACAAAGAAAUAUGUUUUACUGAUUUUAUAGUCUAACUUGUACAUACAUAUAGACUAAAUUAAAAAUAAGAAAAGAUUUAUAGAAAAAGUGGCCUCAUUUCUUUCACAUACAGAUAUCAUUUUAAAAAAGAGAGGUGGAGGAGCUAUUGAACAUUGAGGCAUAUCAGCUAGAGUAAUGUGUUGGUCUUGAUUCUUUUAAGACAAAGUCUCAAUGCAGUCCAAGCUGGCCUUGAACUCAAGACAGUCCUCGUGCCUCAGCCUCCCAAGUGCUGGAAUUACUAGCAUUUGUUUGUACCUGGCUCUUGUUUGAUACUUGAUUCAAGUUAAUUUUUAGAAGGAAGUCAUUUUGAAGGUAUCAGUGGUGCUGAAGGUAUAGGUCAGUGAUAGAGUGCUCACCCAGCAUGUGGACAUCCCCAGAUUUGGUCGCUAGCACCUCCCCCCACUCUCUCACACACACAUACACACUCUCCAUCUCACUCUGCAAUUUCAAAGAGGAAUAGACAUCCAGUGACAGUAAAGAAUGAUAAUUGUAGAUGUGAUAAUGUUAUAUUUUUAUUGUAACUUGUUGGAGACACUCUGAAGUUCAGUUAAAAUGUUGAGGGUAUAUUUUUAAAUAUUUCUGGACCACAAAAAGGCAAGCAAAACAGGGCAGCACUGUCGAUGUCGCUCCUGGCCGGCAGGAAGGACACACGACAAAGUCUGGCAGUGGACAACCUUUUCUUUUAUUUUCCUUCUCCGUACAGCCUGCCCUGGGAUCGCUCCCAGCCGAAGCCUCCUUUGGUCCGCUCCCCGCGGCUCCUUCUGGGCUUCUACUUCCGGGCUUCUUCUUCCCCCCCAGGGGUGGCACCAGUAUAUAUACGGAUACAGUGUCCAAUCAUGUUAAAGUAAGCAAGGCAAGCUGAUUGGCUAACAUCAUCAGUUGCCAGGCAGACUAUAUUGUUGAGCGGGUUGCUUACGCGGUAAGCAGGAAACUAACGUGCUCGAUGGGAGGGGUAAUCUACCUCAGGCUUUACUCUUUACUACAGGCCUCACGUCCGCCAAGUGAGGCGCCCGGGUUCGGGGCUGCGGCUCCCAACACAGCACAUUUGGGAAGUUGAAUGCAGGACACACAAGAGUUGUUAUGCUUUUCUCUCAUUGUGUUGUUUUGAAUAUUCUUUUAGUGAAAUGUUUUUAAAAUCAAAAGACAAGGGAAUUGUCUUUGGACAAUAAACAGUGAUUCUUCUGCUAGAGGGAAAUAGUGACAUGGGAACAAUUUGGGCUUCAGAUUUUAAAUUUCUGGGGUGUUCUAAUCAUGGCUUCAGGAGUUUCUUGCUGUGGGUCCUUCCUGCAAGGCAUUGACCCUACCCAGGUUGCAGAGUUGUCUCUAUACCUUAGGAAGGGCAAGUGAAAGAAAAUAUUGCCUUGCCUGGCAUGUUGAAUGAUUCUUAGCUGUUCCUUAGUUGCAUUGAGUUUGUUUUUCCUUUAGUCUCUCUUCAUCUGAAUGAAAACAAAGCUACAGAAAGAUCAAAGGGCUGGUGAUGAUAGUUGCAUCUGAACUUAGUUUGUUACCCGUUCCCAUGGCCCAUAUUCUCCUGGGUCCUCUGUUCUGAUAAUCACCAAUGGUUAUUGAGAGGAAAGCAAGUUUCCUUGCAUACUACAGGGAAGAUCAUUUAAGAAUAGUCCUUGUUGAGCUGGGUAUGGUAAUGCCUUCCUGUAAUAUCAGCAAUUGGGAAGCUGAGGCAGAAGAUUGUUGGAAGUUGGAGACGAGCCUGGGCUACAAAGUGAACUUAGAGGCAGCCAGAAUUGCAUAGCAAUUCUUUUUUUUUUCCAUUUUCUUUUUUGUCUUUUUCAUUUUUAUCGGUACCAGGGAUCGAACUCACGACUGCCUGCUUGCAAGGCAGGCGCUUAUGCCGCUGAGCUAAAUCCCCAGCCCCUGCAUAGCAAUUCUUAAAAAGCAUAUCUUAAAAAGACAAAAGAAAGAGAGAGAGGGAGAGGGAGAGAGAGAGAGAGAGAGAGAGAGAGAGAGAGAGAGAGAGAGAAAGAAAGAAAGAAAGAAAGAAAAA